UUUCCAGGUCUCUAGUCUCCUCUGUUCGUGUGUGUAGGGUGCAGCAGAUUGGCCUUCGUCUCUGUUCGGGUUUUCUCCUCUCCCAACACAAAGUUGCAGACCCAUUAUUCCUCGCAAACCAAUCUUUCUUGCUCUCACUUUGAAGCUUUUUCUUCUCUGCUUCAGGUUCGUUCUCUUCCCGAAUAUUCUCCGAUUCGUUUUCCGUUUCCGUCUUCAGGUUCGCUCUCUCUCUCUCUAUGAUUCGUUUUUCAUUGAUUUAAAGCUUUGUUUCAUUCAAGGUUUGAUCUAAUUCUCGAUUAAAGCUCUGGGUUAUUGGCGUUCAUGUUUCUGACCCAGUUUUGUCUUCCUAUAUAUGAUUCUCCAGUGUCUAGAAGUUUAUGGUUUUCUGAAUUUGACGGUGAGUUCCCAGGUUAACCAAUCACUAGAGGAUCACUAUAUAGUUGCAUUUACAUUAUUAGUUUAUAUAAUCAAUGGCCAUGAUGCUACCAAGUCUGAGGCAGAAGGCCCAGACCCAUAAAAUGCAUUUACACUAUCAGAUUAUAUAAUCAUUCACCUUCUGUUCUAGAGAUUAAGGAUUUUGCUUGAGAAAUUUCUGAUCAAUCCAUGUUCAUUUGCUUUUCCAUUUUGGUGUAGUGUUGUUUCCGAAGUAAGUUCUGUACCAAGUAAGUUUUGUAAUAGUAAGUAGUGCAUGCCAUUUUAUAUUUGGAUUCAGAAAGUUUUAGCGUAUUAGAUAAGUGGCUUGAUUAAUAUGAGCCAGUAGGAAUUGUGGAUAGUUUUUUUUUUUUUUUUUUUUUUUUUUUUUUUUUUCUGGCAAUCGAGUUGGGGAUAGUUUAAUCUUAAAUUGCACUUAACUUUGUUUUGACAUUCCAUAGUUGGCUAUUGAAAGAGCUAUUGCAAUUUUCAGGUGUCUGUCAUUCAGUCGUGCUCCCAGAGUACCAAUGUGUUACAAGCUUUGCAACAGAAGUUCCCAGCCGCGUCAAAGACUCAGUUAAGGAAUAAAGUGCGGGAGAUAUCAGAUUUUUGUGGAUAUCCAUUGGCAGAUCUGCUGAAGUAACAUGAUAACAGAGCACAGCCAAGCCAUUUUGAACUCUUUGUACUCAUUUUACUGGAACUUGACUAGAAAUUGGGAGUUGAGAAGUUAUGUUGAUGGGGUAGACCAAGAAGAAGAGGCUAGCAAUAUCAUUCAUCCCAUUAUUGUUAAGGUAUACUGAUCAAACACAUGUUCAAGGACAGUCCAUAUGCCUCUCGUUCUCCAUCAAAAUUCAUCUGCAUUUUUGAACUUAAUUAGUUACAGAUAUUAUUUCUAGUUGAAGACUUGUGAAGCAUAUUAUUAAAGUGCUCAAUUUGUUCAUAUUUGUUGGAUUUAAAAAAGAGUUGAUGUUAGGUUCUGUCUAUUA